CCUACGGGAGGCAGCAGUGAGGGAUAUUGCGCAAUGGGCGAAAGCCUGACGCAGCGACGCCGCGUGGGCGAGGAAGGCCUUCGGGUCGUAAAGCUCUGUCAGAGGGGAAGAAAUGCAGGUGGUGAACAACCAUUCUGUUUGACGGUACCCUCAAAGGAAGCACCGGCUAACUCCGUGCCAGCAGCCGCGGUAAUACGGAGGGUGCGAGCGUUGUUCGGAAUUAUUGGGCGUAAAGCGCGUGUAGGCGGUUUGUUAAGUCUGAGGUAAAAGCCCCGGGCUCAACCUGGGAAGUGCAUUGGAUACUGGCAGACUUGAGUACGGGAGAGGAGAGUGGAAUUCCCAGUGUAGGAGUGAAAUCCGUAGAUAUUGGGAGGAACACCGGUGGCGAAGGCGGCUCUCUGGACCGAUACUGACGCUGAGACGCGAAAGCGUGGGGAGCAAACAGGAUUAGAUACCCCUGUAGU
rnacentral:rRNA from 1 species